AUUGAACGCUGGCGGCAUGCUUUACACAUGCAAGUCGGACGAGUGGCGGACGGGUGAGUAAUAUAUCGGAACGUACCUAGUAAUGGGGGAUAACUAAUCGAAAGAUUAGCUAAUACCGCAUACUAUUCGAUCGGCCGAUAUUUGUUUAGCUAGUUGGUGGGGUAAAGGCUCACAAAGGCGACGAUCAGUAGCGGGUCUGAGAGGAUGAUCCGCCACACUGGGACUGAGACACGGCCCAGACUCCUACGGGAGGCAGCAGUGGGGAAUUUUGGGCAAUGGGCGCAAGCCUGAGCGAGCCAUGCCGCGUGUGUGAAGAAGGCCUUCGGGUUGUAAAGGACUGUUGUCAGAGAAGCGGUACCUAAAGAGUAAGCACCGGCUAACUACGUGCCAGCAGCCGCGGUAAUAC
rnacentral:rRNA from 1 species